rnacentral:rRNA from 1 species
UACGAAGGGGGCGAGCGUUGUUCGGAUUUACUGGGCGUAAAGCGUGCGCAGGCGGUUUUGUAAGUCUGUCGUGAAAUCCCCGGGCUCAACCUGGGAAUGGCGAUGGAGACUGCAAGGCUAGAGUUUGGCAGAGGGGGGUAGAAUUCCACGUGUAGCAGUGAAAUGCGUAGAUAUGUGGAGGAACACCGAUGGCGAAGGCAGCCCCCUGGGUCAAAACUGACGCUCAUGCACGAAAGCGUGGGGAGCAAACAGG